AUUUAAAUCGACCGUUUAAUUUAUAUUUUCCGACCAUCCGUGGUCGUAUCAAUCAAACGUAUUUUUCUUAUUUGCAAUAUUCAUAGAAUUUGCUUUAGCUAUUCCAACACCGUAUUGAAAAGAAAAAUCCAACAAACAUACUUUUGAUGGUAGAUAAUUUGGUAACACAAUAUGGUGAUUAUUCCAGAAAGAGCCAAUUAUACAAAACUUUGUUUGGCUUUAUAAAUAUUUUGAUAUGAGCGUCAUUGAUGAGUCUUAUGUAGACGAAACGCGCGUCUGGCGUACUAAAUUAUAAUCCUGGUACCUUUGAUAACUAUUUACACCACUGGGUCAAUGCCACUGCUGGUGGACGUUUCGUCCCCGAGGGUAUCACCAGCCCAGUAGUCAACAUUUCGGUGUUGACAUGAAUAUCAAUAAUGUGGUCAUUUUUAUAAAUUUCCUGUUUACAAAACAUUGAAUUUUACGAAAAAAUAAGGAUUUUUUAUCCCAGGCAUAGAUUACCUUAGCCGUAUUUGGCACAACUUUUUGGAAUUUUGGAUCCUCAAUGCUCUUCAACUUUGAACUUGUUUGGCUUUAUAAAUAUUUUGAUAUGAGCGUCACUGAUGAGUCUUAUGUAGACGAAACCCGCGUCUGGCGUACUAAAUUAUAAUCCUGGUACCUUUGAUAACUAUUGCUAAUAAUUACUUAUAUCCACUUCAUUUGAGUACUUGUCUUAUUUUAAAGCAAAUCAGUAAAUUAAAAUGCCACACUUAAUGUUCUGAAAUAACAUGUUGAGUUAUUCUCUAUAGAAAAGUUUAGAUACUGUAAACCAACUUAUUUUCGCGGAUAAUUUUUUUCGAGUUUAGCCCUAUCUAUUCCAUUUUGCAGCAAUUCAAUUUUCGAUUCUCAAAUGUACUUUAUGUAGUUAAGUAAGAAAUCAUCAGUUUUACAUAUUCGCGACGAUUUGUAUUCGAGAUAUUAUUCUACUCGCGAAAGUCAGGAAAAUAAAUCGCCCGCAAAAAUAUGUUGGUUUACAGUAGUUUACAAAAGAUUUUUUUUCUAAUUUGCAAUCGUAAAGGAAGCUUGUAUAGCUUUUCGAACAGUGUCAAGCAAAGAAUUUUGUAUACUUACAGAACAUUAUCUAAAACUUAAUCAUGACAAUCCUUGAAUUAUUGCAGAGUUUACAAAACUGUUAGCGAAUUAAUUGUUGUUAUUUAAUGCAAAUAAUCAAUUAAUAUAACAAGAUGAUCUCAUUUUUUUAUAUUCAUAUGAUGCUAUACCCUUUAUAACCAAAACAUAUAGUUCUGAAAUGAAUCUUUAAUAGGUAUUUGACGAAUAAGACUCACCUUUCACAAUCACUGUUUUAUCAAAAGGGUCCAGGAUUUCAGGUAGCAUCAAUCAAUUAGCUUUAUAAAACGUAUAUCAUGACCCCAUACAGUUUUGUAGUUUUAAUAAUGAUAUGGUAUUAAUAUGGAUUCAAUCCUAAGGUCUUUGCAUCGAAAAUAAAAAUACCAAUUGUUGGCAUGAUACGGGAUAUGUUAUUCUCAUAUGAUUUAUGAAGGUAUGAUUCUAAACCCCUAAAGGGAAGGAUUUUGCUUGAUAUGUAUAUGAUGAAGACAUAAUUCUUCAAUUAGUUUAUAUGAGGUCUAGAACUGGCAUGUCAGUUACUGGUAGUAGUUCUUUUGUUAAUUUAUGUAUCAUUGUUAAUUAUCUUUGUUUUAUUUUUUAUUCUGCCAAGGGACGCGGAAUCAUUUUAACCUGAGUUUUACUGUGUGUAUCCUGUGUGUGUGUUUAUUUUACAUUGGCUAAUGGUAUAAGGGAGAGGGUUGAGAUCACAAAAAGAGUAUUUUAUUUUAUCAAGCGAGUGUUUAAGUGGAUAUGAACAGAUUGAAAUUUAUGUUACAACCAUCUUUUGCCAUAGGACCUAAUUAUCGAUAAUUGUAAAGUUUUGAAUAAAAAGCAGGAAAAGCCGACCUAUUAUUAUGUGUGUACAAGGUUUAGUUUUUUGCAUCCAAUUUUCUAUGAGUUUUUCUUAAUGAAACACAUAAAUUGUCGUCAGUCGAUCACUUCAAACGAUUACCAAAUCUUUAAAUAGACUUAUUCAAAAGGGAAAUAGUUCCGAUACCGUGUCAAGUAAUUAAAGACGGACUUUUUUUAGAAUUGAUGCUAAUUAACUUGUGACAUCUUUGUAUCGAAAAUAUUCACAUUUAUUCUGGAACCAGUUUUUGACAUGAUACGGAAUAGGUUCUUCUCGUACAUUUUAUGAUAUUAUAAUUCAAAACCCCCAAAGAGAGGGAUUGUGCUUGAUUUCCAUAUGAUGAUGACAUAAUCUUUCAAACAGUUUAAUUAAGGUAUGGAGCUGGAACAUCAGUCAUUGCAAGUACUUAGUACAUGUAGUCUUUUGUUAAUGUAUGUUUCAUUGUCAUCUUGCUUAGAUUUUAUUUUUACCUAAUCUGACAUCAGACUUGGACUUCUUUUAAAAUGAGUUUAGCUGAACUUUUCGAUGCGUAUUUGUUUAUUCUAAAUUAGCUAGAUAUGAGGUUUGAAAUCUCAC
rnacentral:lncRNA from 1 species